rnacentral:rRNA from 1 species
GUGUCAGCAGCCGCGGUAAUACGUAGGGGGCAAGCGUUGUCCGGAAUCAUUGGGCGUAAAGCGCGUGUAGGCGGCCCACUAAGUCCGCUCUGAAAGCCCGGGGCUCAACCCCGGGAGGCGGGUGGAUACUGGUGGGCUCGAGUCCGGAAGAGGUCAGUGGAAUUCCCGGUGUAGCGGUGAAAUGCGCAGAUAUCGGGAGGAACACCAAUGGCGAAGGCAGCUGACUGGGACGUGACUGACGCUGAGACGCGAAAGCGUGGGGAGCAAACAGGAUUAGAUACCCUAGUAGUCC